rnacentral:rRNA from 1 species
UGGGGAAUAUUGCACAAUGGGCGCAAGCCUGAUGCAGCCAUGCCGCGUGUGUGAAGAAGGCCUUCGGGUUGUAAAGCACUUUCAGCGGGGAGGAAGGCGAUAAGGUUAAUAACCUUGUCGAUGUACGUUACCCGCAGAAGAAGCACCGGCUAACUCCGUGCCAGCAGCCGCGGUAAUACGGAGGGUGCAAGCGUUAAUCGGAAUUACUGGGCGUAAAGCGCACGCAGGCGGUCUGUCAAGUCGGAUGUGAAAUCCCCGGGCUCAACCUGGGAACUGCAUUCGAAACUGGCAGGCUAGAGUCUUGUAGAGGGGGGUAGAAUUCCAGGUGUGGCGGUGACAUGCGUAGAGAUCUGGGGGAAUACCGGUGGCGAAGGCGGCCCCCUGGACAAAGACUGACGCUCAGGUGCGAAAGCGUGGGGAGCAAGCAGG